rnacentral:ncRNA from 2 species
CUCUUAUCAAGAGAGGUGGAGGGACUGGCCCAAUGAAACCCGGCAACAACGUCUGAAGAGACGGAAUGUGCCAAUUCCUGCAGAAGUUCGGCUUCUGGCAGAUAAGAG